UACAAGUAAGUUCAAUUCCCAUUCUUCCUCUGUCUUAGUCCUUCUCGAACUGUAAUUCAAGAUGGCGGAGGCAAAUCGCAGAACAUCGCGGUUGAGCAUAAAACAUGUAAUUUCAGGAACACUUGUGCACUCUACUGCAGCCAGUAGAAUGGAAAUAUGUCCAAAGAGGAUUAUAGGAGUUGAUCAUGACGGAAAGAUAGUUUUUAUUGAUAAUGCUUCUUGUAUGGAGGAACUUGCUGAAAGGUUUGGAUUUAAUGAGAGAGAUGUAAUCACCCUAAAAGAGAACAGACAGUUUUUGAUGCCUGGAUUAGUUGAUACUCAUAUUCAUGCUCCGCAGUAUAUAUUCACUGGAACAGGCUAUGAUGUGCCUCUCCUACAGUGGCUUGAAAAGUAUACAUUUCCCUCUGAAGCAAGAUUUGCAAACAAAGAAUUUGCUCAGAAUGCAUACAGAAAAGUUGUGGAAAGGUUACUCAAGAAUGGAACAACCACUGCAUCAUACUUUGCAACUAUUCACUAUGAUGCUACAGUAGUCCUCUGUGAUGUUAUAGCUGAACUUGGACAACGAGCAUAUGUAGGAAAAGUUUGUAUGGACAGGAACAGUCCAAACUACUACAUUGAGGGAACAGAGGACUCAGUUAAGAAUGCUGACAGGAUUAUUACCUAUAUAUUAGGGAUGAAGAAUCCACUCAUUACUCCUGUCAUCACUCCAAGGUUUGUUCUGAGUUGCACCUCAGAUCUGAUGAAGAAGUUAGGGAGUCUUGCAAAGAAUUACAACCUCCCCAUACAGAGUCACUUAAAUGAAAAUAAGAAGGAAAUAUCGUUGGUUAAAGAAGAAUUUCCAAAUGAGAGCUAUACUGCAGUGUAUGAUAAGCAUAACCUUCUUAAUGGUAAGACAUAUAUGGCCCAUUGCUGCCACUCCACAGAAGAGGAAAUUAAUCUUAUGUUAGAAAGAAAUUCUGCCGUCGCUCAUUGUCCGACAUCCAAUUUUAACAUUCGAAGCGGUGUGGCUGAUAUCAGACACUACUUGAACAAAAAGAUCAAAGUUGGAUUAGGGACAGAUGUUUCUGGUGGAGAAUCACCAUCGAUGUUGGUAGCCAUUCGUGAUUGUGUCAAAGCUUCCAAUGCAAUCAGUUUUGGCAAAUCUGAGGAAUUCACAGCCCUAACUUAUGAAGAAGCUUUCUUUCUUGCUACUUUAGGUGGUAGUCAAGAGGAGAAUUUACUGUUAUCGAGGGUUUCAGCAGGAUUGUGAAGAGGGCAUGAAAAUUCAGCGGAAAACAAUUUCGAGCUUGAUUUCCUUUCAGUCCUAUGAAAUGUCUGUUAUUGUUGUGGUAGUCCAUGGCAAUCUUUAUCAAGUGAUGUGUUUUAAUUCCGUUGUAGUGCUUGGACUUGACGACAAAAUAGGAAAUUUUGAGGUAAAGUGAAGCGUAAUACCUACCGAUUUUCACGAACACUUCCCGAUGAAGAAGCUUGACGUUGUGUUUAACUUUUUUAUUUAGGUCGGCAAAGAUUUCGAUGCAUUAUUAAUUGACGUGGAAGUUCCAGAUUCCCCAUUUGAUUGUUUUGAUGCAGAUGAUUCAAAGGAUGCAGUCCAAAAGUUUCUUUACCUUGGAGAUGACAGGAACAUUCGACAGGUUUACGUGGCGG
rnacentral:misc_RNA from 1 species